rnacentral:rRNA from 1 species
UACGGAGGGGGCUAGCGUUGUUCGGAAUUACUGGGCGUAAAGCGCACGUAGGCGGCUUUGUAAGUUAGAGGUGAAAGCCCAGGGCUUACCAGCGAAUUGCCUUUAAGACUGCAUCGCUAGAAUGUGGAGAGGUGAGUGGAAUUCCGAGUGUAGAGGUGAAAUUCGUAGAUAUUCGGAAGAACACCAGUGGCGAAGGCGACUCACUGGACACAGUAUUGACGCUGAGGUGCGAAAGCGUGGGAGCAAACAGG